CCAGCACCCCGAGUGGUCGGGACGAUUAUUGGGCCUAAAGCAUCCGUAGCCGGUUUUACAAGUCCUCCGUUAAAUCCAACUGCUUAACAGAUGGGCCGCGGAGGAUACUAUAAGACUAGGAGGCAGGAGAGGCAAGCGGUACUCAGUGGGUAGGGGUAAAAUCCGUUGAUCCAUUGAAGACCACCAGUGGCGAAGGCGGCUUGCCAGAAUGCGCUCGACGGUGAGGGAUGAAAGCUGGGGGAGCAAACCGGAUUAGAUACCCGGGUAGUCCCAGCUGUAAACGAUGCAGACUCGGUGAUGGACUAGCUUUAUGCUAGUCCAGUGCCGCAGGGAAGCCGUUAAGUCUGCCGCCUGGGUAGUACGGUCGCAAAACUG
rnacentral:rRNA from 1 species